GCCAGUGGGCAGGGCGGCGCCUGGGUCGGCUCAGAUGAGGGAAAUUCGCACCGGGAUGCCGGGGGACUCCGUCCUCUGGGGCGAGUGAUGGCUCACCAGAUGCUCCACCACCGUGUGUUUGGACAUGUGCUUCAUCAGACGGAUACGCGAACCGCGCCUGCUCGGCCGGCUCCGCGCUGCAGCCUUCCUCGCACCCAGACCAGUAACGCGGCCAAGGGGCCUUCCGCACCCAGAGGCUCUCGGGGCGUCUAGAUGGCCGCGGGGCAACACCGAAGAUUUCUUCCUUCGCUUUACAAAAAGAGGGGCGACCCGAAUAAAUCAGCCCGUGCUCAAUCCACUGAGCUAUGCCAGCCAGGGCAAGUUCUCCGCACUCUCAAUCAACAGAACGCUAGAGUGAGAGCUACCCCAGGAAGUUCCCAGUACACGGAAGCUGG